GUCACUAGCAGGUGUGUAGAUGAUGCUGAUGUCACUAGCAGGUGUGUAGAUGAUGCUGAUGUCACUAGCAGGUGUGUAGAUGAUGCUGAUGUCACUAGCAGGUGUGUAGAUGAUGCUGAUGUCACUAGCAGGUGAGUAGAUGAUGCUGAUGUCACUAGCAGGUGAGUAGAUGAUGCUGAUGUCACUAGCAGGUGUGUAGAUGAUGCUGAUGUCACUAGCAGGUGUGUAGAUGAUGCUGAUGUCACUAGCAGGUGUGUAGAUGAUGCUGAUGUCACUAGCAGGUGUGUAGAUGAUGCUGAUGUCACUAGCAGGUGAGUAGAUGAUGCUGAUGUCACUAGCAGGUGAGUAGAUGAUGCUGAUGUCACUAGCAGGUGUGUAGAUGAUGGUGAUGUCACUAGCAGGUGUGUAGAUGAUGCUGAUGUCACUAGCAGGUGUGUAGAUGAUGCUGAUGUCACUAGCAGGUGAGUAGAUGAUGCUGAUGUCACUAGCAGGUGAGUAGAUGAUGCUGAU